AUCCUACUCCCUCCGUUCCAUAUUAGUUGUCGCUCAAACGGACGUAUCUAGCACUGAAAUAUGUCUAGAUACAUCCAUUUCGGAGACAACUAAUAUGAAACGGAGGGAGUAUCUC
rfam:Triticum urartu cultivar G1812 contig1107437, whole genome shotgun sequence.